UCAGUGGAGAGUUUGAUCCUGGCUCAGGAUGAACGCUGGCGGCGUGCCUAAUACAUGCAAGUCGAACGAAUCUUCUUCGGAA
rnacentral:rRNA from 1 species